GAAUACUAAAAUAGUAUGUAAUUAUUUAUUGAAACUUAAAUAUUUUGGCAGUAUUUUAGUUUAUUUAGAGGAAUCUGUUUAUUAAUUGAUAAUCCACGAGUGAAUUUACUUAAUUUAUUAUUUUGUAUAUCAUUGUUAAAAAAAUAUUUUUUAAUAAUAAUAAUAAUAUUUAAAAAUUAAAAAAAAAAUUAAAUCAAAUCAAGAUGCAGAUUAUAAUUAAGAAUAAAAUGGGUUACAAUAAAAUUAUUUAAAUGAAUUUUAAUUUGUAAUAAUUAUAUGAAGGUGGAUUUAAAUGUAAUUUUAUUUAU
rnacentral:rRNA from 1 species